AACAAAAUAAUAAUCCAUUUAAAAAUAAUAAUAAUCAUAAUGGGAUUCAUCAUCAUCAACAAAAUAAUCCAUUUCUCAAAAAAAAAAACAAUAGUCAAAAUCGAAAUCAUCAUUGUUGACAACUACAACGACAACAACAAAUCAUCAUCGCUAGCAACUCAUCAUCAUCGGACGAGAACCAUGGCCAUCAAAGACGAAAUUAGCGGCGAAACGAAGAUGAAACUGAAACGGGGACGAAAUCAAGACACCCCAACGAAUACGAAACCGGCAAUCAGCUGUGGUCCACAGUCGAUGGACCAGCCACGACGAAGAUAGUGGAUGAUUAUGGCCGUGAUAGUGAUAGAAACCUGCAAUGGCGUUUGGCUGGGAGUCAAGUGUGAGAGAGUUUAGGUUUUAAGAUUUUUUUUUCUAUUUAUAUAUUUUUAUUUGAAGUGAUGAUAUUUUUGAAAUAAUGAAGAAUUAAUGGGGCAUAAUGGAAAAUUCUAGGAGUGAGAGUUUAAUUCCCAAAGCCUCCUUAGGAAUUAGAUUUACAUUUUUAAUUCUCAAAUUAAUGUGGGGUCUGCUAAAAUAAAUCGCAUUCAUUUUCUUAUUUUACUAAAUAACGUGGGUUUCAUUCUGAUUCUAAAUUUUCAUUUCUAAAUCCGACAAGUAAAUGCAGUCUAAUAUUAUUGGUGGCAUAAGUUGCAUUUGAUAGAUAAUGACGAAGAUAACCCCGAUGAUUAGAUGAUAAAAAGUAAUUAGCUUUAAUUAAUGAUGCAACAAUAAUACACCAUUGUUUUGGUACACGUGCAUUAGCUCUUAAUAAUGGGUUCUUCGAUUACAGGUGUUUAAAUGCCGUUGAUUAAGCAAACGCAGUUGCCUCUUUUAGACGCAAGGUACGGAGGUGACGAGGGAUGGCACAUCGUUGUACAACGUAGCUGCGGAGUAUGGAAUCAUUCAC
rnacentral:lncRNA from 1 species